GACGAACGCUGGCGGCGUGCUUAACACAUGCAAGUCGAACGGAAAGGCCCUGCUUUUGUGGGGUGCUCGAGUGGCGAACGGGUGAGUAACACGUGAGUAACCUGCCCUUGACUUUGGGAUAACUUCAGGAAACUGGGGCUAAUACCGGAUAGGAGCUCCUGCUGCAUGGUGGGGGUUGGAAAGUUUCGGCGGUUGGGGAUGGACUCGCGGCUUAUCAGCUUGUUGGUGGGGUAGUGGCUUACCAAGGCUUUGACGGGUAGCCGGCCUGAGAGGGUGACCGGCAACAUUGGGACUGGGAUACGGCCCAGACUCCUACGGGAGGCAGAAGUGGGGAAUAUUGCACAAUGGGCGGAAGCGUGAUGCAGCAACGCCGCGUGCGGGAUGACGGCAUUCGGGUUGUAAACCGCUUUCGCCUGUGACGAAGCGUGAGUGACGGUAAUGGGUAAAGAAGCACCGGCUAAAUACGU
rnacentral:rRNA from 1 species